rnacentral:ncRNA from 15 species
AUUUUUGAGACAUUGGUAUAUGAUAGCGAUCGGGCAAAGUGCAUAUCGCGCAAUGCUCCCCGCUUCUCCUCCCUGAGCGGGUGCCUGUCGUUAUUCGAUUAGGCUGUUUAACCCGCCGUUGAACGGCGGGUUUUUUUAUGCGCCGCACGAAUUGCGCCGGCCG